GACGAACGCUGGCGGCGUGCUUAACACAUGCAAGUCGAACGAAGUGGCGAACGGGUGAGUAACGCGUAAUCAACCUGCCCUUCAGAGGGGGACAACAGUUGGAAACGACUGCUAAUACCGCAUACUGAAGGAGGGGAUUGCGGUUGAUUAGCUAGUUGGGGGGGUAACGGCCCACCAAGGCCAUGAACAGUAGCCGGUCCGGAGAGGUGGACCGCCACAAUGGGGAUGGAGACACGCCCAGAACUCUUCGGGGAGGAGGAGGUGGGGAUCUUCCGCAAUGGGAGGAAAGUCGACGGGGCAACGGCGCGUGGGGGGAAGCAGGCCUCGGGUUGUAAAACUCUGUUUAUCAGGGAGCGGUACCGGAAUAGAAAGCCACGGCUAACUACGUGCCAGCAGCCGCGGUAAUUC
rnacentral:rRNA from 1 species